rnacentral:rRNA from 3 species
GUCUUUUAGAUUAUAAUUUAAAGUCUGGCCUGCCCUAUGAAAAAUUAAAUGGCCGCAGUAUUUUGACUGUGCAAAGGUAGCAUAAUAAUUAGUUUUUUAAUUGAAAGCUGGAAUGAAAGGUUGAACGAAAAAAUAUCUGUCUCAAUUUAAUUUAAUUAGAAUUUUAUUUUUUAGUAAAAAAGCUAAAAUAAUUUUUAAAGACGAGAAGACCCUAUAGAGUUUUAUAUUUUAAUAUCAUAUAUUUUAUAGAAUUAUUUUAUGAUUUUAAAUAUUUUAUUGGGGUGAUAAAUAAAUUUAAAUAACUUUAUUAAUUUCUUACAUUAAUAUAUGAUUAAUUGAUCCAUAAAAAUGAUUAAAGAUUAAAUUACCUUAGGGAUAACAGCGUUAUUUUUUUUUAGAGUUCUUAUCGAAAAAAAAGAUUGCGACCUCGAUGUUGGAUUAAAAUUUAUUUAUGGUGUAGAAGCUAUAAUAUUAGGUCUGUUCGACCUUUAAAAUUUUACAUGAUCUGAGUUUAAACCGGUGUGAGCCAGGUUGGUUUCUAUCUUAAAAUAAGUAAAAUAUUUUAGUACGAAAGGACCAAAUAUUUAUAAAAUUUAUUAAAUUUUGAAUAC